UCGUUAGUAUAAGUAUGUUCUAUGCAGUAUUAAGGACAUAUUUAUACUAAAA
rnacentral:pre_miRNA from 1 species